rnacentral:rRNA from 1 species
AGUGAACGCUGGCGGUAGGCCUAACACAUGCAAGUCGAACGGCAGCACAGUAAGAGCUUGCUCUUACGGGUGGCGAGUGGCGGACGGGUGAGGAAUACAUCGGCAUCUACUUUUUCGUGGGGGAUAACGUAGGGACACUUCCGCUAAUACCGCAUACUACCUACGGGUGAAAGCAGGGGAUCUUCGGACCUUGCGCGAUUGAAUUAGCCGAUGUCGGAUUAGCUAGUUGGCGGGGUAAAGGCCCACCAAGGCGACGAUCCGUAGCUGGUCUGAGAGGAUGAUCAGCCACACUGGAACUGAGACACGGUCCAGACUCCUACGGGAGGCAGCAGUGGGGAAUAUUGGACAAUGGGCGAAAGCCUGAUCCAGCCAUACCGCGUGGGUGAAGAAGGCCUUCGGGUUGUAAAGCCCUUUUGUUGGGAAAGAAAAGCAGCAGGUUAAUACCCCGAUGUUCUGACGGUACCCAAAGAAUAAGCACCGGCUAACUUCGUG